AAAAGAGCUGUUUGAGAGUGGAACAGACUGACUUGGAGGGUAAUGGAUUCUCCUUCUUUGGGGGUCUUUAAAUGGAAAGUGGAUGAUGGCGACGCCUUCCACGGGUACUUCUCUACCAAAGGCUCUCAAAGAGAGUGCCAGUCUAAGCUCUCUAGGAAGGGAGUUUCAGAGCCUGGGAGCAGUUUAUAUAGCAAAAUACAGUCCUUCAGACAACCUGGGCCUGAGGCGUAUCUGUGCUUAAGUAAAUCUCACCUUCCCACCAAAAAGAGCCCCGCAAGGAUCGGGACCAGGCAGAGGUGCUCCUGGGGUAGGUAAGUUGCUGUCACCACUGCGUUGAGGCUGAAGAUGGCAAACUGCUCCACGGAGCCACCGACAAACAGUUGGUGGAGCAGGGCAGGCCUGGAGCGUCCGUCCAGCGGUCCAAGGGGGUCCAGGCACAAGAUGGAGAAGGCCCUCAGCAUCAUGCCUGCAAGAAUGGGAAAGAGAAAAAAUAACAGCCUAGAAUUUUCUCUCCAACUAAUGAAAUCUGGAAAGGAAAAACAGGAUGAAAGCAGGUGCCUGGACGUUUACCGAGGAGGAUCGGGAUCCCGGUGACCAGGAGGC